rnacentral:rRNA from 1 species
UAGGGAAUCUUCGGCAAUGGGGGGAACCCUGACCGAGCAACGCCGCGUGAGUGAAGAAGGUUUUUGGAUCGUAAAGCUCUGUUGUUAAGGAAGAACGAGUGUGAGAAUGGAAAGUUCAUACUGUGACGGUACUUAACCAGAAAGGGACGGCUAACUACGUGCCAGCAGCCGCGGUAAUACGUAGGUCCCGAGCGUUGUCCGGAUUUAUUGGGCGUAAAGCGAGCGCAGGCGGUUAGAUAAGUCUGAAGUUAAAGGCAGUGGCUCAACCAUUGUAGGCUUUGGAGACUGUUUAGCUUGAGUGCAGAAGGGGAGUGUGGAAUUCCAUGUGUAGCGGUGAAAUGCGUAGAUAUAAGGAGGAACACCGGUGGCGAAAGCGGCUCUCUGGUCUGUAACUAACGCUGAGGCUCGAAAGCGUGGGGAGCGAACAGG